rnacentral:rRNA from 1 species
ACUCAAAGGAAUAGACGGGGACCCGCACAAGCAGUGGAGUAUGUGGUUUAAUUCGAAGCAACGCGAAGAACCUUACCAGGGCUUGACAUCUACGGAAUCCGCAAGAGAUUGCGGAGUGCCUUAGGGAACCGUAAGACAGGUGGUGCAUGGUUGUCGUCAGCUCGUGUCGUGAGAUGUUGGGUUAAGUCCCGCAACGAGCGCAACCCCUAUCGUUAGUUGCCAUCAUUAAGUUGGGCACUCUAGCGAGACUGCCGUUGACAAAACGGAGGAAGGUGGGGACGACGUCAAAUCAUCAUGCCCCUUAUGUCCUGGGCUACACACGUACUACAAUGGCCGUAAACAGAGGGAAGCGAAAUAGUGAUAUGGAGCAAAUCCCCAAAAGCGGCCUCAGUUCGGAUUGCAGGCUGAAACCCGCCUGUAUGAAGUCGGAAUUGCUAGUAAUCGCGAAUCAGCAUGUCGCGGUGAAUACGUUCCCGGGUCUUGUACACACCGCCCGU